rnacentral:rRNA from 1 species
AUGGUGAAUCAGAAACCCCUAUUUCCUGGUGAUUCUGAGAUUGAUGAACUCUUCAAGAUUUUCAGAAUUAUGGGCACUCCUAAUGAAGAAACCUGGCCAGGUGUUUCUUCGUUACCUGACUACAAAUCAGCUUUCCCCAAGUGGCCGUCCGUGGAUCUCGCAACUGUGGUUCCAACACUCGAACCUUUGGGACUUGAUCUUCUCUCU